rnacentral:rRNA from 1 species
UACGGAGGAUCCAAGCGUUAUCCGGAUUUAUUGGGUUUAAAGGGUGCGUAGGUGGCCUGUUAAGUCAGGGGUGAAAGACGGUAGCUUAACUAUCGCAGUGCCCUUGAUACUGAUGGGCUUGAAUGAACUAGAGGUAGGCGGAAUGUGACAAGUAGCGGUGAAAUGCAUAGAUAUGUCACAGAACACCAAUUGCGAAGGCAGCUUACUAUGGUUUUAUUGACACUGAGGCACGAAAGCGUGGGGAGCGAAUGGG